rnacentral:rRNA from 1 species
UGGGGAAUAUUGCACAAUGGGCGCAAGCCUGAUGCAGCAACGCUGCGUGAACGAUGAAGUUCUUCGGAUCGUAAAGCUCUGUUGCAUGGGGAGAUAAUGACGGUACCCUGUGAGGAAGCCCCGGCUAACUACGUGCCAGCAGCCGCGGUAAUACGUAGGGGGCUAGCGUUAUCCGGAUUUACUGGGCGUAAAGGGUGCGUAGGUGGUCUUUCAAGUCGGUGGUUAAAGGCUACGGCUCAACCGUAGUUAGCCUCCGAAACUGGAAGACUUGAGUGCAGGAGAGGAAAGUGGAAUUCCCAGUGUAGCGGUGAAAUGCGUAGAUAUUGAGAGGAACACCAGUAGCGAAGGCGGCUGUCUGGACUAAAACUGACACUGAGGCACGACAGCGUGGGUAGCAAACAGG